GGGGCGUUAGCGCAGUUGGUAGCGCACAACACUGGCAGUGUUGGGGUCAGGGGUUCGAAUCCCCUACGCUCCACCA
rnacentral:tRNA from 2 species